CUGGACUGUAACUGACGCUGAGGCACGAAAGCGUGGGGAGCAAACAGGAUUAGAUACCCUGGUAGUCCACGCUGUAAACGAUGAGUACUAGGUGUCGGGGGUUACCCCCUUCGGUGCCGCAGCUAACGCAUUAAGUACUCCGCCUGGGAAGUACGCUCGCAAGAGUGAAACUCAAAGGAAUGGACGGGGACCCGCACAAGUAGCGGAGCAUGUGGUUUAAUUCGAAGCAACGCGAAGAACCUUACCUAAGCUUGACAUCCCAAUGACAUCUCCUUAAUCGGAGAGUUCCCUUCGGGGACAUUGGUGACAGGUGGUGCAUGGUUGUCGUCAGCUC
rnacentral:rRNA from 1 species